rnacentral:rRNA from 1 species
UACGUAGGGGGCAAGCGUUGUCCGGAUUUAUUGGGCGUAAAGCGCUCGCAGGUGGUUCAUUGCGUCGUGCGUGAAAGACCCCGGCUCAACUGGGGAGGGUCGUGCGAAACGGGUGAACUAGAGGCCAGUAGGGGGAUGCGGAAUUCCGGGUGUAGUGGUGGAAUGCGUAGAGAUCCGGAGGAACACCAGCGGCGAAGGCGGCAUCCUGGACUGGUCCUGACACUCAGGAGCGAAAGUGUGGGGAGCGAACAGG